CAAUGGCAAGUCACCAGACGGUGACAUACAAACUCACGCAGUCUUUGUCGUCCAUUUCAUACGGUUUAUCCGUCACGAAGCAUAUUUGUGCGAAGGGAAUCUGCAUUGGAUUGAUUUGUAGAUUAUUUUCUUCGACACACGGUAUAUUUUGGCAUCUGUCAAACCGGGAGGAAUGACCUAGAGACAAACUCUCCUCUUAUAUUGCGAAAGAGACAUUGUUAACGCUUUUAUAACGCGUUCUAGAAGAGACCUCUCAUGUCACCCGUUGCCAGCUUCUUUGAAUUAAACUGUGUUAGAAUUGUGUGUGAAUCCUUUUAGCUCAGCUAUAAUUGGAUAUUCAGUUCCGAGGAGAGGACUUAUUCCACGAUUCAUUUCACAUUUAGCAGGAUUUAAGCAACCAAGACACAAAGGAAGCAGGGAUCACCAAUGACCACUGUGCCGGAGACUGAUUCAUAAGAUUAUUCUGCAAAUACAAGAGUGUUUAACAUACUUGAGAAAGUUGUGGAGAGGCUUGACCGUGUGGAGGAUCUACUGUCAAGGAUAGUAGAGCGUCAGCCAUUACCUUGUGAUGAUGAGGGUGUUGAUGAGGCUGUUCUCCCUCUAUUGCCAUGUGAGAGCCGGGAAGCCCUACAGGAGCUGAACACCCUCCUAGAGGCGUCAUCGGUAGCUCGAAAGAAAUUGACACGCAUCCUGAGCCUCGUUGGUGGGUCUGGGCAGGCGGUCUGCAGAAACGCUAUGAAAAAAAUAGUAGGCCACGAAGUAAGCAAGAUCUUCAAUUUAACGGGAGCAAAGGGGAAGUUUGCUUUUGCCGACUUCAGAAGCCUGAAUGCUGUAGUAACAAAGGGUAUACGACCCAACAGAGGGAUGAAGGAUACCUCAGAAAACGACAUAUCCAUGUGGACUGGACGGUGGUUCACCAAUGCCAGGGAUCGGCAAGGAGACCGACGGGCAAGGAGGAUGGCCACAGGAGCAAACAACCAUCAAGGACCUGAGUAACAGAUCUGAUGAACUGGUGUUAUUUUAGGUCAGAGGUCAAAGGUCACAGGGUCCUAAAAGUGUUAUAAAAUCCCAGAAAAUAUGUCAUUGCUGUGGGAACUUAAAAAUAAUUUUAAAACCAUACUAACCCAGUACCCAGUUAUAGCUCCAUCAACUCCAUUUAGCAACAAAAUUCUCUUCACGUAAUGAUGUUUUUUUUUCUUUUCAAAACCCCUUUGUCUCCUUACCGAUCCGUGGCGUUGGUGAUCUCAAGAGUUGAAGCUCCCAGUAGGGUUAAACUUAUGCGGGGUUUACAGUAUUUAUUAAAAUUAGCUUCUAGGUAUUUUUGUAAAUUGAGGAGAGAAAACAUUUUUGUCUCGCUGUUAGAAAUAGCUCUAGCAAUUUAUUUGGCGGAACAAUUUUUAAUUACCUUUGACUCGGGUAGUAGGUACAUCUUUUCUGUAGUUCUAGAGUUUACUAAAUCAUUCAGGAAUGAGACAAAAACAGGGUCAUCACUUGUGUGUGAGAUAAGAUAAAUGUACAUAACAUAUAUAUUUUAUGCUUUGUAUUCAAAGUUUUAUAUAAAUGACUUGACCUUACAAUCUUGUAUGGAAUCAAAAACCAAAAAACCAAUUAACACACACAAAAGCUCUAUCUUAGCCCAUGUAAGCUGCUUGAACAGAACAAUUUUUAACUUUGACACGGGUAGUAGGUACAUAUUUUUCUGUAGUUCUAGAGUUUACUAAAUCAUUCAGGAAUGAGACAAAAACAGGGUCUUCACUUGUGUGUGAGAUACGAUAAAUGUACAUAACAUAUAUAUUCUAUGCUUUGUAUUCAAUGUGUUUAUAUAAGUAACUUGACCUUAAAAUCUUGUAUGGAAUCAGAAACUAAAAAUCAAUAACACACACAAAGCCCUAUCUUAGCCAAGGUAAGAUGUACGAUCAGAUAUUUAGUUGGGUUUGUUUUCCCCACCUGAACUGAAAAAGUAUACCAGACAAGUAUUCAUUAGCAUUAAUGCACCUUGCCAAUCUUUGCAAAUCUUUGCCAACAUAAGGGCCUAAAUUCUCGAAGCUAGGUUUACGUAAACCUUGAUUUAAGACGCGUCAUAUGACGUCAUUUUUCAGACCAUGUUUUAAAUUAUGUUAAGGAACUCUACGUAAAACAGUGGGCAACGUAAACCGUGGACAUCAUAGACCACCUUCGUGAAUUCAAGCCAAAGUGUGCAAACAUUUUUUGUCGCCAAUUUUUUUUUAAUUAGUAACUUGCCAAUUUAUUGACAUUUGUGUAUGAAACCAAAAUGUGCUUAUUAUGUACUAUAAAUAUUUUUGUAAGAUGACAAUCGGUGUGCUAAGUGGACUUUGGCUGAAACAAAAAAGAACGUUCUAAACAAAUCGUAUUAGUAUUCAAGAUUAUGUUAAUGCAUUGUGUUAUAUAUUUUCUAGAUGUAAGAAAAGUUGAACAAUGAUAUGUUCUUGGUUUUUUUUAAUGUAGUACCGGUACAUAUACAUGUAACAUGUUUCUGAACAAGUUUUAUUAUAGGAACUGGAGUUAUUGGAGUAUGAUACAUGUUUUUAUAUGUGUUAUUUUUUGUGUUUUUACAUUCAAUUAGAGAAGAGAGCACCAGGCUUCCUUUGAUAUUGUAUAUCCCUAAAAUUUUUCUUUCCUGUUCAUAAUCACAACAAUGUUCAUGAUUCAAAUUCGUUUAGCUUUGAAGCAUAGCAUAUUGAUUAUUAAUUAAAAUUUUUCUUUUUCAACGAAGAAUUCUAUGUACUAUUGUUCUUUAUCUGAAGUUUCUGCCAUUUAAUACAGAGAGUACGUGCACACACAGAAACCAACCCCAAUGAAGCUCUUUCCCCGCUUAUGGAGUUCAGACUCGCACCCACUAUACAUUUUUAUGACAAGCUGCAUGUAGAUAAGUCAUGGCUUCCAUACAAA